rnacentral:rRNA from 1 species
GGACUACACGGGUAUCUAAUCCUGUUUGCUCCCCACGCUUUCGUGUCUCAGUGUCAGUUCAGGCCCAGACGGUUGCUUUCGCCAUCGGUAUUCCUCCCGAUCUCUACGCAUUUCACCGCUACACCGGGAAUUCUGCCGUCCUCUACCGAACUCUAGCCACGCAGUAUCGACUGACAUUCCCGGGUUGAGCCCAGGGCUUUCACAACCGACUUACGCGGCCACCUACACACGCUUUACGCCCAGUAAAUCCGAUUAACGCUCGCACCCUCUGUAUUACCGCGGCUGCUGGCAC